rnacentral:rRNA from 1 species
GGCUAACGCUGGCGGCGUGUCUUAGCCAUGCAAGUCGAGCGGACUUAUGGGGUAACUUAUAAGUCAGCGGCGGACGGCGGAGUAACACGUAGCUAACCUACCCUCUGGACGGGGAUAACCUACCGAAAGGUGGGCUAAUACCCGAUGUAGUCAUCCUGUAUAGGGGUGAUGAAAGGUGGGCUUCUGUUUACAAGCUCAUGCUGGAGGAGGGGGCUGCGGCCUAUCAGGUAGUUGGUAGGGUAAUAGCCUACCAAGCCGAUGACGGGUAGCCGGCCUGAGAGGGUGACCGGCCCGAGGGGCACUGAGAUACGGGUCCCACUCCUACGGGAGGCAGCAGGCUAGAAAUUUGGGCAAUGGGGGAAACCCUGACCCAGUGACGCCGCGUGCAGGAAGGAGCCCUUCGGGGUGUAAACUGCUGUCGUGUAGGGAGAAGGGUACUAAGGUGAACAAUCUUAGUACUUGACGGUACUACAGGAGGAAGACCCACGGCUAACCUCGUGCCAGCAGCCGCGGUAAGACUACGUAGA